AUCGCUUCUUGGCCUUUUGGCUAAGAUCAAGUGUAAUUCUGUCAUAACUGCUAGUAGCACAGGUUUAACUUCCUCACAAUUUUAUGUUUAGGAAAUUUAAAGAUUUCAUUCUUUUGGUCUUCCAAAAAAAAGUCUCAAGAAGAAUUUGUU
rnacentral:snRNA from 1 species